CAAUAGCGUAUAUUAAAGUUGUUGCAGUUAAAAAGCUCGUAGUUGGAUUUCGGGGUGGCCUGGCUGGUCCGCCGCAAGGUGAGUACUGGUCAGCCGCCCUUCCUCUCGAAAGCCCCGACUGCUCUUUACUGCAGUGGUCGGGUAGUUCGGGACGUUUACUUUGAAAAAAUUAGAGUGUUCAAGGCAGGCUAUCGCCUGAAUGCAUUAGCAUGGAAUAAUGGAAGAGGACCUCGGUCCUAUUUUGUUGGUUUCUAGGGCCGAAGUAAUGAUUAAGAGGGACAGUUGGGGGCAUUCGUAUUUAAUUGUCAGAGGUGAAAUUCUUGGAUUUAUGAAAGACGAACUAGUGCGAAAGCAUUUGCCAAGGAUGUUUUCAUUAA
rnacentral:rRNA from 1 species